CGCCCGUGGAGCGGAGCGGUGGGCGUCGGGGCGGAGCGCGCUUGGGGCCCCCGGGUCCUCGCCGGACGGGACAGACCCGGUUCGGCCGCCCCCUGCCCGCCCCGCGCGGCCCAGGCCCGAGGCGGGAAGGCAGGCCGGGGCUGAGGAGAUGGUCGGUCCAGAGGGAGCUGCUGGUUUUGCCAGGUCUCAGGGCGUGUUUUCAGCAGCGCUCGGCCUGCGGCGUUUCCACGUGCUGGAAGUUUGGGUCCCAAAGCGGCGCGCGAACUAGGUGGCUGUGGACACGAGGGACCGGAGCUUGAGACAUUCUGGGGAGCUGGGCUUGGCCACUCGCACGUCGGCCGUGUCUAAGAGCAUUCCUGGCGGGCGGUCGGCCUAGGAGGCCGGGAGGACCCCACCUGGAGCUCCGAGUCCCCUGCAGCUGCCCCGAGUGCGGGUCUCUGUUCCUCUCCAAGAAGACGACUCUGGCCCGGAGCCCAGCACUGAGCUCCCUGCUACGGCCACUGCUGCCGAGCCUGCUGAACACGCCUGGCGCAGGUGUCCAAGCCCUGCUGUCGCCACGACCCCCACCACAGCCAGCCACCUGGUGGGCCAGGGAACACGGGAACAGCACGGCAGGAGGUGGCCGUCGCCCUAGGAGGGCGGCGUGCGGAAGCGGAUCUUCUUGGCUGUUUCCACGUCGGACUUGGCAACCAAAAAC